UUCAUGAGCCUCUGAUAAAUAAUUCAGGCUUCUCCAUCUGUGGAAAAGUUGGAUUUGGCCUAAUUUCUCUCAUAAACAAAGAACAUCAUCUGCUCAGAACAGUCAAAUAGGCACCACUCAAAUAUUUCAAAAAAUAGAGAGAUUCCAGUGAACUGCAGCCAUUCCAGGCCUGGGUCCUGGGAUCUGAGAAGCCCUUUUGAAUCUUGCCAACAAGGUGGGCCGAGAACAUGAAGCUGAUUUAAACAACUGGAGCUGGGAUGUUUCCAUACAGAGUCCAUGUUUCAAGUACCUUAGUAAAUACUCCUAAAAUGAUCCUUCUCCUUUUCUGAAAGACAGCAGGCUGAUUUGUUUCUAUGUAGUAUUUCCUGGAAAAACACAAAGCAGCAAAUACGUUUCUCUGGAGAUGUUCUUAAGCCAAGGUAUAUCCGUCAGGGUUCUCAGAGAAAGAAAAAGAAGAUAGAGAGGUGACAGAUAAUAGACAGGCAGACAAGCAGACAGAAGACAGACAGACAGACAGAGUCCAACUUUCCUUUCCUGAUGCCAUAAGAAAAUACCAUAAGCUAACACAACUUGCGGGGGAAAAAAGAAUUUAUUUCGUUUUAGAGCCUAUAGUCAUUAUUCAGGGGAGUCAGGGCAAUAGUUCAAGGCAAAAACCUGGAGGCAAAGACCAUGGAGGAGUGCUGCAUGCUGUCCUGCUUUCUCUAGUUUGUUCAGUCACCUACCCUUCCCACGCAGCCUGGGCCCACUUGUUCAGGGAUGACCCUGCCCACAUCAAUAAGCAACCAAGAACAUGUUCCACAGACAAGUCCACAAGCAAAUCCAAUGGCUGCGACUCCUUAGCCGAUGUCCCCUCCCCCACCCCACCCCCACCGAGGUAUGUCUAGGUUUGUGUCAAGUUUACUAAAACUGUGACACACAGAGAGAAGAGAUAGAUGAUAGAUGAACUGAUUGGUUUCAAAGAGUACCCUAAUGUUGACUGACAUCCCUGACUUCUUUGGGACAGUCCACCAACCCAGAAAAUAUUAGUCUCAUACUCAUGCCAUAGUUGUCUUGAGGCAUCAUUUCCUCUUCCUAAGGGAAAACUCACUUUUGUGUUCCAAGUCUUUCAGAGGAUUAGAUAAGUUCCCCCUGCAUAAUAUACAAAGAUUGCCUUUAUUUGGAGUCAACUAACUGCAGCUGUCAAUUAUAAAUGUUACUCUUGUGCAUGAAAUUCCACCUGAGGGCCACAUGGACCACCAUUUGAGACUAACAUUAAACACCUUACCAGUGUGCCUUUGGUACAAGCUAUUCCCUGGAGAUCCACUCUCCCAGUUUAGCCUGAUCCAGUAAGGCUUAUCGUC
rnacentral:lncRNA from 1 species